AGAGUUUGAUCCUGGCUCAGAUUGAACGCUGGCGGCAGGCCUAACACAUGCAAGUCGAGCGGAUGAAGAGAGCUUGCUCUCUGAUUCAGCGGCGGACGGGUGAGUAAUGCCUAGGAAUCUGCCUGGUAGUGGGGGACAACGUUUCGAAAGGAACGCUAAUACCGCAUACGUCCUACGGGAGAAAGCAGGGGACCUUCGGGCCUUGCGCUAUCAGAUGAGCCUAGGUCGGAUUAGCUAGUUGGUGAGGUAACGGCUCACCAAGGCGACGAUCCGUAACUGGUCUGAGAGGAUGAUCAGUCACACUGGAACUGAGACACGGUCCAGACUCCUACGGGAGGCAGCAGUGGGGAAUAUUGGACAAUGGGCGAAAGCCUGAUCCAGCCAUGCCGCGUGUGUGAAGAAGGUCUUCGGAUUGUAAAGCACUUUAAGUUGGGAGGAAGGGCAUUAACCUAAUACGUUAGUGCUUUGACGUUACCGACAGAAUAAGCACCGGCUAACUUCGUGCCAGCAGCCGCGGUAAUACGAAGGGUGCAAGCGUUAAUCGGAAUUACUGGGCGUAAAGCGCGCGUAGGUGGUUUGUUAAGUUGAAUGUGAAAGCCCCGGGCUCAACCUGGGAACUGCAUCCAAAACUGGCAAGCUAGAGUAUGGCAGAGGGUGGUGGAAUUUCCUGUGUAGCGGUGAAAUGCGUAGAUAUAGGAAGGAACACCAGUGGCGACGCGACCACCUGGGCUAUACUGACACUGAGUGCGAAGCGUGGGGAGCAAACAGGAUUAGAUACCCUGUUAGUCACGCCGUAAACGAUGUCGACUAGCGAUGGAUCUUG
rnacentral:rRNA from 1 species